GAGAAAGAGAGGGAGAGAAGCAUCAAUGUAGAAGAGAUACAUUGAUUGCUUGCAUCUUGCAUGCCCCUGACUGAGGGACCUUGGCCACAACCCAGGCAUGUGCCGUGACUGGGAAUCAAACAUGCAACCCUUUGGUUUGCAGGCUUGGGCUCAAUCCACUGAACCACACC